AGAGGACUUUUUGUGUCCAGACAGAUGGCAAUACUCAUCCGUAUGUUGUCUGCCCCAGGGCAAGUGUCACAGUGAGUACGAAUAAAGCGAUCAAUAAUUUGUCUAUCUGAAAAGUAUGAAGAAAAACAGGAUGAAAAUUUUCACUUUGAUGAAGUGACACAUGCAUUACUGUAACCCACGACCACAGGAUGAUAUAGAUCAUUCCUUCCAUCCCAGAAGACCCUUCAUGCACCUUCCCAGUCAACACUCCCUACUUCAAGACAGCCACUGUUCUGGUUUCUUUCAUCAAAGAUAAGUUUUCCCAGUUGUAGACCUUCAAAUAAAUGAAAUCAUACAG
ensembl:lncRNA novel transcript